CCAACAAAAUUAUAUUAAAAAGAAUUAAAAACCUAUCGACGAUUCAGUUGCCGGAAGCCGCCGGUCACUACACAGAGAACCGCCAAAUCCCGAAGAUCGUGGGACACUGGAUUGCCGAUUCACCUUGAAAACUACGCUACCAGUUUACACCACUUCUCUCUCUCUCUCGUAACUCAUUUCCAAAAAAUCUCUGGAACAAGCAUUUCCCUAGUCUACCGCCAUUUCAAUUAGGGUUCAUCGGAGAUCGUCGUAAAGUCCUUGAACCAAGAUCGAAGAUCAAUUUUCUUCUCAAGAAACCACAAUUUAUUGGCAUUUCGUCAAAGCUUUCAGCUAAGUAGUUAUGAUUCGAUAGAUUCUAUUCUGGAUGGAUGUGGUUCUCUUCUUGCAAAAGCAUCAAUGGAUCGUGCGAUCCAUUAUAUAUGUGGCAUGUGAAGAAUUAGGGUUCUGAGAGUAGAUUUCUGUUCAGUUUAGUUUUUUCCUGAUUGGUUUUGAGUUCGGUUUUGCGCGACGAAGACUUUUUUAAUACUCAAAUGGCAAUUAUUGGAGAUGCGCUUCGCCAGGCGUUCAUGCCGAAGCACGAGUAUGAGAAUCUUCGCGAAGAAGAAAAAGCUUGGGGAAAGCUUCAGAAACCACUGAUAAUGGCUCUUGUGGCGUUGAUAGGGAUCGUAAUUAUUGUAUGCACUGCUAUCAGUUUGAACAUAGUCUUCCCCGACGACAUCGGAAAUAGACCGUUCUGCAGCGAUAGGAGGCUUCAGCCUCUCCCCAUGAAUGGAAAAGUUGGUGAAUCUGAUCAUUUACUUGGAGCUUUUUACCUUACUAAUCAAGAAAUCGUGGACUAUUAUUGGAUGCUCGUGUUCAUCCCCUCUGUAGUCGCAUUUCUUGCAUCGGCUGUCUAUCUUGUUGCAGGCAUUGUUGUUGCUUAUUCUGCUCCAACUAGACAUAGUUGCUUGAAGGUUGUUGAGAAUAGCUACUGUGCAUCCAGAAGAGGCGGGGUUCGCUGUCUUACCAUCCUGAAUGUUAUUUUUGCGAUCAUCUUUGGCCUCUUGGCAUUAUUUCUUGGUUCAAGUCUUCUGACCUUGGGUGGCAGCUGCUCUGUGCCCCUGUUUUGGUGCUAUGAGAUCUCAUCAUGGGGUCUGGUCAUUCUCUAUGGAGGAACUGCUUUUUUCUUAAGACGAAAAGCAGCUACAAUUCUCGGCGAAGGAGAACUUGGUGGAAGAAACCUCGGCCUGGAAAUGUUGGUAGCAAAUCCUAUGGAAAUCACUCCCGAUGUGGAAAGGCGUGUCAAUGAAGGAUUCAAAGCUUGGAUGGGAUCUUCUCUCUUAUCCUCUGAUGAAGAAGAUGAGCCUGAUAGCUACGAAGAAGUAACAUCCCAUAUGAACCAUGCUAACUCUAACAGGCCCAUUGUGUGAUACGGUUUUCCUUCAAUUCAGCUAAUGACAGGUAAAUUUUGGUUCAUUGGAGAUCGGUUGGCAGUCAUAUAAAGAUAGAUUCCGUUUGCAAAGAAAUGGCUGAUAUUUGACACCGACCCGAUUGCGAGGCUUUGGAUGGUAGCGGCAGGUUUUGUUGAGAUUUGGGGUUUCAUCUUUCACCAUAUUCUUGAUAACUUGUGAAUAGUUUAUAGAACUUCAAUCCUCUUACGACUUUACUUGAAGAUCUGUUCUAUAUAGUGGUGUUGUACAACUAUGCCCCUGAAUUCUAAAGAACUUCAAUACUGUUCUGCACUCCUCUGAGAACAGAGUGAUGAAAAGUUGCUAACAGUUGCUCCUUUUAGGUUUUAUGAAAGUUGGUUGGAGAAGAAGACGCGGGUGUCAUCGGCAGAGAAGAAGGAUAAUUGAUGCUCUGGAGGUUGAUUUUUCAACGCCACCAAGAAGGAAGGAAGAGAAAUAAAAAAAGAAUAAAAGAUUUUCGUCAAGUUGGUCCAUCGGAAAAGAAGAGGAGGAAGGAAAGAGAAAAAAAAGAAGGAAAAAAAGGACCGAAGAUCACGCCAGAGAAGAAGGGAAGAGAAUGAGGGAAAUAGAGCUGAAGGGCAAAUUUGUAACUUCACUCAUCUAUGGUAUUAGUAGAAAACAUUUUUUAAAAAAAUUGGGUCAGUUGUCAUCUUGGACUCAGAUUUUGGAGAUCUUUUUAAGUGGUGUCUUGUGAUUUCUAAAGUUCUAAUUUUAAUGGUGAGUUUUUCUUUUUUCUA